CCCUUAGAGUUUGAUCCUGGCUCAGGACGAACGCUGGCGGCGUGCUUAACACAUGCAAGUCGAACGAGAUCCAUGGAGCUUGCUCCGGAAGAUCUAGUGGCGAACGGGUGCGUAACACGUGAGAAACCUGUCCCGGACUUGGGAAUAACAGUCGGAAACGACUGCUAAUACCGAAUACCUUCGAAACGUCGCAUGGCGAAUCGAAGAAAGCUUUUGCGGUUUGGGAGGGUCUCGCGGCCUAUCAGCUUGUUGGCGAGGUAACGGCUCACCAAGGCAUCGACGGGUAGCUGGUCUGAGAGGAUGAUCAGCCACACUGGGACUGAGACACGGCCCAGACUCCUACGGGAGGCAGCAGUGGGGAAUAUUGCACAAUGGGCGCAAGCCUGAUGCAGCAACGCCGCGUGCGGGAAGAAGGCCUUAGGGUUGUAAACCGCUUUCAGCAGGGAAGAAACUGACGGUACCUGCAGAAGAAGGAGCGGCCAACUACGUGCCAGCAGCCGCGGUGACACGUAGGCUCCAAGCGUUGUCCGGAUUUAUUGGGCGUAAAGAGCUCGUAGGCGGUUUAGUAAGUCGGGUGUGAAAACUCUGGGCUUAACCCAGAGACGCCACCCGAUACUGCUAUGACUUGAGUACGGUAGGGGAGUGGGGGAUUCCUGGUGUAGCGGUGAAAUGCGCAGAUAU
rnacentral:rRNA from 1 species